rnacentral:lncRNA from 10 species
GCGCUGUGCUCGCGGCCGUCCGGCCCGUCCGGCAGCCCCGGGUCAGCCCGGUGAACUAAGCGGACCCGGGAUGGCCGAGCCGGGGGCCGGCGUUCUGGGCUCCGUUUGCUCACCCUGACCGUGGCACCCGCAUAAGCCGUCUGUGUGUUCCAGAGAGGCCAGCCCUGCAUGUGCUGUCCGUGAGCGUGCUUGGACCUACGCAUAGGACCCAGCUGAGCGGGACAUUUACACGACUGCUGGGGUCGAGGGCAGAACAGGGGGAAACUGUGUUCUGGCGGAGGCACAGCACCCCGGGAGCACCCAGAGCCUGAAGAACACCGGGAUGCCGCAGACAAAGAAGAAGAUGAAGUAGGGGAUGAAGAAGGCUCCUGCAGAAGAGAGAGAGGCAGGGCUGAGCCACACCCGGGCUCUUCCUCAGCCUCCAUCCUUUCAGACCCUCCUCCCCCAACAAACCCGCCCUCCACCAUCCUGUUCUUAAUCUCCCUCCUGACACUUUCCAAGGGCCCACUCCUGCCUGCGUGCAGUCCUGAGUGUUAGGCAGGCACAGGUGGGAAUGUUCUGAUCUGAACCCUACACAGAAUGAGAAAGGCCUUGGAAGGGAAAUUAGUGAAAACUUAGGUGGAAAUUCUAAUAUAUGCACUAUUUAUUUUCUUAGUGUGCUUUACAAAUCUAGUCAAUAGAUUAUUUUUGGAAU